AGAAUCAACGCUGGCGGCGUGCCUAACACAUGCAAGUCGCACGAGAAAGAGGACUUCGGUCCUUGAGUACAGUGGCGCACGGGUGAGUAACACGUGAAUCAUCUACCUUCGAGUGGGGAAUAACUGAGAGAAAUCUUAGCUAAUACCGCAUAAUACCUACGGGUCAAAGCAGCAAUGCGCUUGAAGAGGAGUUCGCGGCAGAUUAGUUAGUUGGCGGGGUAAUGGCCCACCAAGACGAUGAUCUGUAUCCGGCCUGAGAGGGCGCACGGACACACUGGAACUGAAACACGGUCCAGACUCCUACGGAGGCAGCAGUGGGGAAUUUUGCGCAAUGGGGGAAACCCUGACGCAGCAACGCCGCGUGGAGGAUGAAAUAUCUUGGUAUGUAAACUCCUUUCGAUGGGGAAGAUAAUGACGGUACCCAUAGAGAAGCCCCGGCUAACUUCGCGCCAGCAGCCGCGGUAA
rnacentral:rRNA from 1 species